GACGAACGCUGGCGGCGUGCUUAACACAUGCAAGUCGAGCGGUAAGGCUCCUUCGGGAGUACACGAGCGGCGCACGGGUGAGUAACACGUGAGUAAUCUGCCCUUCACUUCGGGAUAACCACCGGAAACGGUGGCUAAUACCGAAUACGACCAGUCUUCGCAUGAGGUGCUGGUGGAAAGUCUUUUCGGUGAAGGAUGUGCUCUCGGCCUAUCAGCUUGUUGGUGGGGUAAUGGCCUACCAAGGCUUCGACGGGUAGCCGGCCUGAGAGGGUGACCGGCCACACUGGGACUGAGACACGGCCCAGACUCCUACGGGAGGCAGCAGUGGGGAAUAUUGGACAAUGGGCGAAAGCCUGAUCCAGCAACGCCGCGUGAGGGAUGACGGCCUUCGGGUUGUAAACCUCUUUCAGUACCGACGAAGCGCCCUGUCGGGUGGUGACGGUAGGUACAGAAGAAGGACCGGCCAACUACGUG
rnacentral:rRNA from 1 species